GCAACCGAAGCACUGUAUUUCGUUUAUCUUAAGCUCUGCGUGUCUGUAAUUCACGACUUUGCUGCAUCCUCAGAUUUGCACAAGGGAGUGUUUCCUGUGAUACACAGUUUUCAGCCUUAUGCCAGAAAUUCCUUUUCCUAUCUCUUGCCUUACCCAUUGCCAGAGAUGUGUUUCCUCUUGGAGCAAAAAGAAAUGACACUGAGAUGGUUUUCCCAGUUUACCAGUGUGAAGAUAAACAGGGGACAUUCAACCUUCUCCUGGCAAAUGAACUUGGACACACAGACUUCACCCCCAGUUAAUAUAGCAGGAGCUGCAUGUGACAAGGUGCUGAAGCCAAACACAGUUUUUCAAAUGUCUCUGCAGAACAACUGGAACUGAUGUGGUUCCUACCACCUGACUGACAAGCCAUCACAGCCAUCGCAAUAAGUGGCCAGAAUCAGUUUUGGCUGCCUUGUGCUUCCUGAAAUCCCUCUGAAUUUCAGGUGAACAGAGGAGCCAAGCUGCAACAACUAACAGUCAGCAAAGGCAGGAGCAUUGGAAGCCUUCAGGAAAAGAUAUGCUGAAGUAGCAUUGCAUGCAAUAAAAUGUCCACAUAGGUACAUGUAAAACAUACUGCCCAUGGCAAGCCUUGCUUCAAAAAUUACUGUAUGAAAGUCAACCUACUAAACUGCAUUGUUCCACAGGUCUCUUCUUAAAAGCACACUACGGCUUUGCAUCACCUUGGUCACUGUAGAUCUUGGAGCAGAUAUUUUAAAUACCAUAAAGACAAUGGCAGUGUACCCUCCUGCUGUGAAACUCCCAUCAAGCUGGUCCAGGAUUCCAUUCCAGAAGAUGAUUUCACAACAUUGAAUUGAAUCAAAAUUUCUACUCACAGGUUUUUCAACAGAUUUCAAUGGGGGUGAAGGAAUCAGCAGAACUCUUUUGCUUCUGUUGUCACACCGAUGCUCUCUCAUUUUUGAAAAGGAGGGGAAAAAAACAACUAACUUGCAGCAAAUCCAUCCAUGACACAGUACAUGUGAACCCACUUUAGGCCCAGAAAUUCUGGAGCUGAUUUGGAAAACUCCACAGGUGCUCACUGACGGCUGGAGGGAACCAUUCAGUGCAUCUACACUACAUUGCUGCUUUGAUUGCUGCUCUGAAAGACAAGAAAGGAAAACUAGCGAAGUUAGAAGCCUGCAGUUCUACAGUGUGAGUGUUACAUGUAGCAUAAAAGAGGAGUAACAUCAAUCCAGCUCUCUGACACUGCUGAAUCACAGUCCUGUCAAAGUAUUCUGAUAACAAACUGGGCAAGGCUCAGCAUCAAAUUCAGUGGGAAGCUGCUCAUGCAAGCUGAAGUGACAGUGAUAGUGCUCAGACACUUGUGGAUGACCUUCACCACUUUCUGAUUUCUCUGAGAGGAGCUGGCUCCCACAUUGCACUGCCAGAUCCACCCCCACUCCCAUAUGUGAUCAUCUGUCCCUAUGGACAAGAAGAUUGACACAGCUUGUAGAGGCUAACUAUUAAUGUGCAGUAACACUUCUGGCUUCUAUACUGGGCAUGGGAAAGUCCGCACUGAGCAGACUGAUGUGUUGGAAAUGUGCCUAGCAAUACAGAAAACCUGAAUUUCUUGUUCGUUUUUUAUUCUACUCCAUUUUUCAGCAUUCUUGAUUUUCUGGCAAAUUUCUGUCUACUCUUAUGGCUUAUUUUUCCCAUAAAACUGGAGAAUUUAUAAAAAGUGUAAUAGUCAGGAACUAUACCUUGUCUGAUUUUCAAACGCAGUCAAUUUUCCUUACCAACAUCUCAAGACAAUGAAUAUGACAAUGGGAUUAAGGGAAAGGGGAUGGAGUGAAGAGAGAGGGAAAGAGAGAGGGAAAG